AAUCUGCAGAUUGAUCUGCGGAUUUACUGCAGAAAUUGUCUUUAGAUUCUUAGCCCAAGACUCUUGAAGUUCCUGAGGUCACGAAGAAGG